rnacentral:rRNA from 1 species
CUAGCUGUAAACGAUGGAUACUAGGCGUUGAGAGUAUCGUUUACCCUCUCAGUGUCGUAGCUAACGCGUUAAGUAUCCCGCCUGGGGAGUACGCGCGCAAGCGUGAAACUCAAAGGAAUUGACGGGGGCCCGCACAAGCGGUGGAGUAUGUGGUUUAAUUCGAUGCAACGCGAAGAACCUUACCAGGGCUUGACAUGUCCGGAACCCUGCCCAAAGGCGGGGGUGCCUACGGGAACCGGAACACAGGUGGUGC